AGUCGAGGGGCAGCAUUCCAGUUUGCUUGCAAACUGGAGAUGGCGACCGGCGCACGGGUGAGUAACACGUAUCCAACCUGCCGAUAACUCGGGGAUAGCCUUUCGAAAGAAAGAUUAAUACCCGAUGGCAUAAUAGAACCGCAUGGUUUGAUUAUUAAAGAAUUUCGGUUAUCGAUGGGGAUGCGUUCCAUUAGGCAGUUGGUGGGGUAACGGCCCACCAAACCUUCGAUGGAUAGGGGUUCUGAGAGGAAGGUCCCCCACAUUGGAACUGAGACACGGUCCAAACUCCUACGGGAGGCAGCAGUGAGGAAUAUUGGUCAAUGGACGAGAGUCUGAACCAGCCAAGUAGCGUGAAGGAUGACUGCCCUAUGGGUUGUAAACUUCUUUUAUAUGGGGAUAAAGUGGUCCACGUGUGGAUUUUUGUAUGUACCAUAUGAAUAAGGAUCGGCUAACUCCGUGCCAGCAGCCGCGGUAAUACGGAGGAUCCGAGCGUUAUCCGGAUUUAUUGGGUUUAAAGGGAGCGUAGGUGGACAGUUAAGUCAGUUGUGAAAGUUUGCGGCUCAACCGUAAAAUUGCAGUUGAUACUGGCUGUCUUGAGUACAGUAGAGGUGGGCGGAAUUCGUGGUGUAGCGGUGAAAUGCUUAGAUAUCACGAAGAACUCCGAUUGCGAAGGCAGCUCACUGGACUGCAACUGACACUGAUGCUCGAAAGUGUGGGUAUCAAACAGGAUUAGAUACCCUGGUAGUCCACACAGUAAACGAUGAAUACUCGCUGUUUGCGAUAUACAGUAA
rnacentral:rRNA from 1 species